AUGGAGCGCCUGCUUGGGCUGCUCAAGGUGAAGGUGGUGCGCGGGCUGAACCUGGCCAUCUGCGACCCCCUCUCCCACAGCAGCGACCCCUACGUCGUCAUCCGCCUCGGACAGCAGAAAGUGAAGUCGAGCAUCAAAUAUAAAACCAUCAACCCAGAAUGGAACGAGGAGCUCACCCUGUCUAUCACAAACUGGACGCUCCCCGUUAAGAUUGAAGUCUUUGACCACGACACUUUCACCAAGGAUGACACCAUGGGCGAUGCAGAGUUCAGCAUCCUCGACUUUGUCGAGAUCGCCGUCAAGGACCUGACCCAUGUCCGUGAUGACACGGUGAUGAAGACGUUCCAACCUAACGAGGAGAACAGCUACUCGGCUGACAGCCACAUCAUGUGGAAAGACGGGAAGGUCACUCAGAAUAUGGCCCUCAAGCUAAGGAACACCGACACUGGCGAGCUCAUCAUGCACCUGGAGUGGGUUAACCUCCCCCCAGGCAUGUCGCGGUGA
rnacentral:rRNA from 1 species